AAACAUAAAAUUUGCUACUUGUGUCGUUCAAAGAAACAUAGAAUGACAAAAUACUUGUGUCUUGCUUGCAAAAAGCCGGUUUGUCUACAAUGUACAAAACCAGUCUGCAAUGACUGCGCUGAAAAAUAAAAAACUUUGGCCCUUGCUGGAAUAUGAUAUUUUUGUCAAAUUUAUUUAUCCUUUAUUUUUUAGUUUGUCUAAUACCUAACAUAACUAAUAAUAUAAACGAAAGUUUGUUAAGGUUUUAUAAUAAUUAAGUACUUACUAUAAAACUAGAUUUAAUUAACUUUUCGGAAAAAAUUAUAAUUUAGGUAAACUCUUUUUAUAUAUUGCUUUAGUUCAGUUUAUUUCUAUGCAAACAAGUUUCCUAAUAUCUAUAGUAUCCAGUAAUGAACAAAAUAUUGAGUUUAUUUGCACAUUUGCAGUCUUAUUGACCUAUUAAGUUAAGUAGUCCUGGAGACUACGCCUGACUGUUAGUGCGACAAAUGAGUCACCGGACUAGUUAAGGGUUAAUGAUAGAAAAUAUUUGGUUGCAAAUAGGAAGUCGAAUGAAAUGUACAGGUAAAUAAUGUAAAUACAUAUUCACAAUUUAACGAUUACUAUUAAGAUUAUAAUUACUAUUUUUUUAUUUGUAGCUAAACAGUGUGAACUGCGGUAGAAUAAUUUAAGGCAACAUUAUGGAAAAUAUUCAAGGUAGUUACCAUCCGGAUCUGCAGCCACACCAAAAUGGGUACAUUACAAAAGUCUGUCAUUCUUAUCUACAGUAAUAAAACGAAGAUCCAGAAAGCCAAUCCAAUAUAAACCGACAGCGAUAUCCACUACCAAUUCUGAAAUAGAUGUUUCUUUUGGCAAUGAUUUGGUUGAUAUUGCAGCAACAACAUCAUCUUUCACUUCUUGUAUACAAAGUUUACCCUCCACAUCAACAGUUUCUUUGUCAUCAUUGUCUCCCUUGUCAACAAUAUCUUGUGAAGUUGAACCACUAUUUCCACCACCUGAUGAAGUAUCAUUUCCACCACCAGAUGAACCAUCAUGUCAACCUUCACAAAAUUGUGCAAAUCCGCCACCUCAAUUAACAUCAGAACCCGCAUCCGAAGUGCUUUGGACUCCUCCACCAAAAAGGAAAAGGAAAAAAGACGCAAUAGAAAACCUUGCCGACACCGUAGAGGUAUUGGUUGAUCUCUCUUCUCUGGCGUUGUCGAGUUGUAUUCUCCUAUGGAUCCAACAACACACAAGAAAAGAACAACAACAAUAAUACAGGUUCGAACAAUAAAAAAACAUCAACCGAAUCAGUAAAAAAUAACGAAAUUGAAUUUCUUUCAAUCAAAAAGUUUGAUAUCGAUAAUCCUAAAAUAAACAUUAAUUGCUCAGUGAAUACUAAUAAUAUAACUUUCGCACCUAGAUAUACAAACCUAAGUACUGUCGAAUUGUCUGAGGAUGAUGUUGAUAUUCUCAAUCUAGGACAUAAAUUCUCUUUACCAGAAAAAAUAAAACCUGUCUAUCUGGCUAUAAAAUUAGAAAGCCAACUAAUGUUUAAUAACAACAUAAAACAAAUCUUUAAGGAGAAUGGGAACUUGAUUGAGAGUGUCAACAAUCAUAAGAACCUAGGUAGAUAUAAUAGAAGUAAUGUAAACCACUCCGCUCAAACAAACAAUAAUGAAUUUAAAACUAAGUUUAGAGCCCUUAAAAAUAAAAUCAAAGAUAGUAACCUUAUUCUCACCUUAGGAGUUCAACAUAUGCCCCGCCUUUAUCUCCAAUAAUUGUAAGCCAGUUCUUCAACUCAUGAACAAUAAAUCAAAGAUAAAUCAAAACGAACAGAGUGGUGUCUAUAAAAUAGAAUGCACGGGAUGUGAUGGGAUCUAUGUGGGACAAACAGGCCGUAAUAUUAAGAUACGAUAUAAGGAACAUAUGACCAAAAAAACUUCCGCAGUUUACAAGCACGUCAAGCAAAGCAAACAUGAAAUCCCAUUUGAAAACAUUAAACUACUAAAAAAUGUCAAAAAAUCUAACGAAAUGAACCUAUUAGAAGAAUUUUACAUUCACAAAUUUAAAGACAAAAAUCUACUCAAUGACACUUCAGACCUCAACCCAUAUAGAAAUUUCCUUCAAUUCAUAUAAUUUGAGUAAUAACCUAAUCAUCAACAGCUAAUUUUUUAAAAAAAGAUUCUCUCUCCCUUUUUUGUUCCCUGACCUAAUAUUCCCUCAUCUUCAAGGAAAACUUUUUCAAAUAAAAGCCAAUUUUCAAUUUCAAACAAUUGUCAUCUCCCUGCCUAUGCAAUGCGCAUGCCCCAAGUGGACCAUAAUACAUUUCUGCAUUCUACAUCAAGCCCUCAGUCCAACCUCAAUCACGCAAUGAACCACCUGUUGUGACUUAAAUUUUGGAUUUGUUUAAUUGAUUACGAAGAUCACAGAUUUUUCUUUCCCAAUAACGUAAGUUCACAUAAUAAAUUCUACCCCUUCUUCUUUUAAUCGAUGAAAUAUCUUGUUCUUUCAGACGAUUCACCUCCUCUUUUGUAUUAAAUAAAUUUUAACACGUGAUCUAAAUUUAACGAUGAAAGUAAGACGCCAUUUUCCUCUCAAUUUUCUGUACUGAUUCGAUGUCUUAUUUCAGAAUUUUUAACAAUCCCCUUUACAUUCCCUAACAAUUUAUUUCUUUUAUGAACCCUAUAAACAUACAAUUAACUAUUGAAACCUAAAUAAACCCGCAUAUUUAUAUAAAAAAAUCCCUUUAAACCGUAAUUACUCCAAAUAAUUGACUUGAGUUGGAUAAGGAAAAAUAUUUUUGGUCUACUUCCCCUACUGGUACAAUGUUUUUAAGGAAAUCCAUCAAAAUAGAACAUCUGUACAUUUCAACAGAUUGACGGUAAAAUUAAAAAAGAAUUUUUAUUAUAAUUAUGUUUUAUAUACUUACCUCUCGCGGAACGAUUUAUUAUAUAAUGCAAUGUAUUUAUGUGUUUCUCAGUCGUGCCUGAAGAAGAUUGUUAAAUCGAAACAUGUCGCACUGAAACAAAUCUAAAUAAAGAAUUUUCAUCGUUUCUAUGAGA